rnacentral:rRNA from 1 species
AUUGAACGCUGGCGGCAGGCUUAACACAUGCAAGUCGAGCGGGGUGAUGGUGCUUGCACUAUCACUUAGCGGCGGACGGGUGAGUAAUGCUUAGGAAUCUGCCUAUUAGUGGGGGACAACAUCUCGAAAGGGAUGCUAAUACCGCAUACGUCCUACGGGAGAAAGCAGGGGAUCACUUGUGACCUUGCGCUAAUAGAUGAGCCUAAGUCGGAUUAGCUCGUUGGUGGGGUAAAGGCCUACCAAGGCGACGAUCUGUAGCGGGUCUGAGAGGAGGAUCCGCCACACUGGGACUGAGACACGGCCCAGACUCCUACGGGAGGCAGCAGUGGGGAAUGUUGGACAAUGAGGGGAACCCUGAUCCAGCCAUGCCGCGUGUGUGAAGAAGGCCUUAUGGUUGUAAAGCACUUUAAGCGAGGAGGAGGCUCUUUUGGUUAAUACCCAAGAUGAGUGGACGUUACUCGCAGAAUAAGCACCGGCUAACUCUGUGCCAGCCGCCGCCGUAA